UCACCAGAGUCCUACAGCUGACGCCUGCA
rnacentral:piRNA from 1 species